UAUAUAUUUUAAUUAUUAAUUUAUAUAUUUUAAUAUAAAUGAUAAUGUUAAAAAAUAAAUAUCCGAGAUUAAUUACCGAUGUGGGUAAUUAUGAUUAUGAGUUUAUUAUUAAUUAUUAUUUACAAGUGGGGUCAACCCUAUUUUGAGCCAUAACAAGGUGAAAAAUUAACAUUUAAAAAUUUUUUAUAUUCUGCUUAUUUUUACGGCGGAUUUAUGGUG